rnacentral:snRNA from 1 species
AGAAACUCAAAUCACUUU